CAGGAGCCCAGGGACAACCGCAGCCAUCCCAGAACCUCCACCCUUCAGCUCCCAGCCAUUGUGGAGUCCAAUGAGUAGCGCUCUGGAUGCUAAGAAUGAGAUUCAUGAGCUACAGGGUCAGGGAACCGCUUGUAAGACCAGGUUCAAUAACGGCCCAAUCAGAAUUCCGGAUGGCUUUGUUUACUUUCCAGAAAUCAAUCAAUGGAAUAGAAUUGAGAGUCUAAAAAUUGACCCAUGACUUUAUGGUUUUGCCUCUGUGACUUCAUACCUGAGCAUUCAGCCGAAGGUUUGCCAGAUUAUACUCAGAGCCAAAUACGAACCCACCCUCGGUUGAGAGAUCUGUGUUUGAACAAAGGAGCAGAUUUUAACCAUGGCCACCUUCAAGUCUCCUCUGGCUUUGACAUUGUGUGAAAAAUUGGCCUGGGGGCUGGAUGGAUGGCUCAGCAGUUAAGAGUGCUUUCUCUUCUUGCAGAGGACCCAGGUUUCUAGCACCCA